GAGGGAUCCAUGGUUUUAUUUUUAUCUGCUGACGUCUGUCUGAGGCUACGCUGGCUCCCAGACUGUGGAGGGGCCGCCUGCCGAGCGGAGAAGAGCUGGGUCCCCAGCAUCCAGAGGCCUCUGCGGGAGGGAAGGCCCCCUCAUCCCCGUGGAGCUCCGCGGGGGCUCAGCUCCGGCCGGAAGAAGCAGGCUUGCCUGAUCCUAGGAGCUUGGCCGAGGACCCCAGGGUGUCUGCCCUCCGCGCUGGAGGUGGACAAGAGAGAGGCGCCUUCGACCACAGCCCGCAGCAUGAAGACAGCAGGAAGAGUGUGAGCAGCUCUCAGGAGGAAGGAAAGGGGCUUGAAUAUUUUCUGAGGCCUCAUUUUACCCGCUGGGUCCUCGGAACACGAAGCAGCUCAGUUGUAAACUAGUCUGGUGGAGAAGGCCACAAGGCUGGAACUCAGAACCCUGAGAAUCUUCCACUGCUGCCUUGCUGUGUGUCUUGGGACAAGUUGCUCUGGGCUCAAAAGUAAAAAAUGGAGACGGAGGGACUAGAGGCCUGGCACGUGUUUCCUUUCAUCUUCCCAGGGAGGGUCAGCCCAUUCCAGGGGGCUGUGGGCAUCUCUGGAGAGACUUACCCCUUUGGCUUCAGCACACGUCCUGAGGAAGCUGUGUCUGGAUCUGGGGAGCUGCAGGCAGAGGCCGAGCUGGGACAUCUAAUGCCCGCAGUGGCACCUGAGGACUUGGAGGGAGUCUCAAGAUGAGCCUUGGGCCACCUUUGCCUCCCUUUAAGGCGGCUGCAUCACUGUUUCAUGGGCGGGGCUGGAAGGGGGCACUGGGCCCAAGUCACUUCAUAGUUGCAGUUUGCUGUCAACAGAGGCAUCUUGUUCACUAAAUAAUAAGCUCUAAAUAAAAAUGGCAAUAAUAUCUUC